GCCUCAUACCCCGAGGCUCACCCACUUCCCCACAGUCUCGGGCUCCCCAGCCAGCCUGGCCGACUCCAUGCAGCAGAAGCUAGCUGGCCCUCGCCGCCGGCGCCCGCAGAAUCCCAGCGCCAUGUAAUGCCCAGCGGGUGCCCACCUGCCCGCUUCCCCCUACUGCCCCGGGGCCCAAGUUAUGAGGAGUCAAAUCCUAAGGAUCCAGCGGCAGUGACAGAAUCCAAAGAGGGAACAGAGGCAUCAGCAUCGAAGGGGCUGGAGAAGAAAGAGAAAUGAUGCAGCUGGUGCCCGAGCCUCUCAGGGCCAGACCAGACAGAUGGGGGCUGGGCCCACACAGGCGUGCACCGGUAGAGGGCACAGGAGGCCAAGGGCAGCUCCAGGACAGGGCAGGGGGCAGCAGGAUACCUCCAGCCAGGCCUCUGUGGCCUCUGUUUCCUUCUCCCUUUCUUGGCCCUCCUCUGCUCCUCCCCACACCCUGCAGGCAAAAGAAACCCCCAGCUUCCCCCCUCCCCGGGAGCCAGGUGGGAAAAGUGGGUGUGAUUUUUAGAUUUUGUAUUGUGGACUGAUUUUGCCUCACAUUAAAAAC
rnacentral:lncRNA from 1 species